CAGCAGCCUCUGCUACAACAAACUCUUCAUCAACUGUGUCUGCAACAUCAGCUCCAUCAACAUCCCCUGCCAGUACAAGCUUUUCUACAACUGAGUUUCAAACAGUUGAACCUACAAGCUCUGCCACAACAAACUCUACAUCAACUGUGUCUCCAACAUCAGCUGCUUCAA